UACGUAGGGUGCAAGCGUUAAUCGGAAUUACUGGGCGUAAAGCGUGCGCAGGCGGUUUUGUAAGUCUGUCGUGAAAGCCCCCGGGCUCAACCUGGGAAUUGCGAUGGAGACUGCAAGGCUUGAAUCUGGCAGAGGGGGGUAGAAUUCCACGUGUAGCAGUGAAAUGCGUAGAGAUGUGGAGGAACACCGAUGGCGAAGGCAGCCCCCUGGGUCAAGAUUGACGCUCAUGCACGAAAGCGUGGGGGAGCAAACAGG
rnacentral:rRNA from 1 species